rnacentral:lncRNA from 1 species
AUGCUGCAUCUGAUGAAAUUCUCGCAGGAAUUCUGGGAGUAGUGCACAACCAGUGUGAACACCUCCACUUGACAGGUGAGAAGACCGAGGCUCAGAGAAGUCCUUUGACUUGAAUGAGAUCACAUAUCUAGCAUUCAGCAAAAGUAGGAUUGGAGUCUGAUGUCCUGACUUCCAGUUCAGUGCCAACGGACAGCUAUCUUAAUUCCAGCAAUCAGAUUCUGGAAUAUUUCCUUGUUACUACCACCAUCACCACUCUUACUAUUACCUCUACUCCUGUUAAUUCCUCCCCCAUUACCAUUACAUUUGCAAUGACUAUUUUAGUAUUUACUAUGAACCAGGCAUAGUCCUAAACCCUAUUCACACAUAGUCUCAUUUAUUCCUCUCAACAGCCUCAUUUCAUAGGGAUGUGGACUGAGACUUAGAGAGGUUAAGUAACUUGCCUGAUCAAGCUGAGGUUUGAGCCUCGGUCCAUUUGGCUGUGAAGGCUGAGCUCUAAAAUAGCUAUCACAUAGUGCGCUCCUCACCAAAUGCCAUGCCUGAAUCUCCUCUCUGUUUCUCAAGGUUGAAUUCCUGCCUGGGUUAUUUGUCUGGGUUAUUUGUCCCUGGAAUUCUGGACCUGCUUGGUUUCUCCCAUUCCUUCAGGACAUUCUCGUCUCUGACUCUGAUUAGAUCCCUGCUGCCCUCAGCUCAUGACCACAACCUCUCCUUCACUAGGGGUCCUGUUAGCUAAACCACUCAUUAUCUAUAGCUGCCAGAAUUCUCUCCUUUGGGUAAAAUUUCUACCUUCUCAGUUAAAAUUUUUCCCUACCUGCUACUAGUGGUUUCUUUUGAGAUGUAUCCCCCUUUACCUAACAGCAAGUACUAUCUACUACUAGCAUCUUCCUUAUUUCUCAUAAUGCAGAAUGAAGACAGCCCCAAGUCUCCUUACCCCACUCUGAUAGGGGUACUCAACCUCCAGGUCUGUGGUCUCCAAUUACACCAUUUCCCUUUCACAAAGGUCUAGAACAAUUUAUUCUUUUUUUUUUUCUAGUUCUUCUUGAGCUAGAUUUAUUUAUUUAUUUAUUUUUUAAAAAAUUAAAAAAAUUUUUGUGGGUACAUAGUAGGUGUACAUAUUUAUGGGGUACAUGAGAUGUUUUGAUACAGGCAUGCAAUGUGAAGUAAGCACAUCAUGGGGAAUAGGGUAUUCUUUCCCUCAACCAUUAUCCUUUGAGUUACAAUCCAAUUACACUCUUUAAUUUAUCUUAAAAUGUACAAUUAAACACUUUAUCCUUAACUUCUCAGGAAAAGAGUUGGGAGGACCAUCAUUCAUAUGUUUACAUGGAGUGGUAAUUUUGUGAAUGUUCGUUUGUAUGUCUGUCAUUCUAUCAGGAAAAAGCCUGCUGGGCACGUGCAUUCUCUACUGUCUCUCCAUUCAAGAAACAGGGAGGAGCUGUCUCCCUGGGAGGGCUUGGGGACCCUCUCCCCUUUCCUCCAAACACCCAACUACUUAUCUGAGGGGAAGCAAGUAAACUAGUAAUUACAAUAACUGUGCUAAGUUUUAUCCAUGGUCUUCACCCAAUUGUGUGGAUUCAGAGAAGAAAGGGUCGAACCCUGCCUGAAUAGUUAAGGGAAGGCAUCAUGGAGGAGGUGACAUUUGAGUUUUGAGUUUUGAGGAGUGGGCAAGAGUUCUUAGUGUUUUAAGAUUUCUCUGUGUUGAGAUUUUGCUAUCAAUUUAUAGCUUUUCACAUUUACUAAAAAUUCCACCCAACCCAGCCCUUCGAACUUUAUUCAAUAAGUUCUAUGGACAAAUGUUAGCUGGUACGGAGAUCGCAAAAGAAUGUAAGAUAUGAUCACGACCUUUCAGGAGCUUACAGUUUUUUUGCCAGCAUACCUACAUAUGUAAGAGUUACAUAACUUUUCAAGAUCAUUGGUUUGUUAAGUCCUUGAAUAGGAACUGUGGCUAUCUUGUUCACUGCCCUGUCUCUGAUUCCUGAAUAUUGUACCUGGGAUUCAGUAAGUCCUCAUUAAAAUCUGACCAAGUAUAGGAAUGAAUGAUAAAUGCUUAGUGAGUGGGGAAGAUUUGAUUUGGACCUGAAAGGCAGGGUCAUGUUUGGAUAAACAGAGGGAAAAGCAUACACUAUCUUGCCUUCCUUCAUGUUUUUUGCAUGCAGGUUGGUGUCACCAACUACAUUACAUGGACCAUAUUUUAUGCAUCUUUUAUAGCCAAAGUGAUUUGGUGUGGAUGUGUGUCCCCUCCACAUCACGUGUUGAAAUGUGAUUCUCAAUGUUGGAGGUGGGGCCUAGCAGGAGGUGUUGGAUAAUAGGGAUGGAUCCCUCAUGAAUGACUUAGUCCCCUCCCCAUGGCAAUGAGUGAGUUCUUGAUCUGUUAGUUCAUGCAAGAGUUGGCUGUUUCAAGGAGGCUGGCACCUCCUCCUCUCUCUCUUGCUCCCUCUUUUGCCACAAGACAGACCAGCUCCUCUUCCCUUCCGCCAUGACUAAAAGCUCCCUGAAGCCUCACCAGAAGCUGAGUGGAUGCUGAUGCCAUGCUUGUCCAGCCUGUGGAAGCGUGAGCCAAAGAAACAUCUUUUAAAAAUAAAUACCCAGCCUCAGGUAUUCCUUUAUAGCAACACAAAAUGGACUAACACACAAAGAGAACUAGGCACUUAGUAAAUGAUUAUACAUGUCAGUUAGAUUCAAGGGCAAGCUAGAGUCUUAUCCAUCCUUACUGAAAAGCUACACAAAUAUUGGUGAUGGGAGAGGAUGUGAAAUGUUCCCAAGUUUUUUGUCUGCCCAAGCUGAGCUUACUUGUGUAUAAUCUGCAUAUUAGUGGAAAAACAUGUGUUAAUUGAUUAUCUACAGGGCACAUGUGUGUGUAUAUAACAUAGGCAUUGUCACCAUGUUUAUGGAGCUUACAAUUCUGCAGUUGAACAAGACAGACAAUACAGCCAAGCAUUAUUAGUUGAUGAUAACUUCAGUUGAUGACUUCCAGAGUCUCAAAAGCAUAUUGAGUAUUUUGGCAGGUUAAUCUGGGCACAUUCCCUGAAGGAGGAGAAAGGUCUCUAGCUAUUAUUAUUAUUAUUAUUAUUAUUAUUAUUAUUAUUAUUAUUUUUGAGACAAAGUCUCACUCUGUUGCCCAGGCUCGAGUGCGGUGGUGAGAUCUUGGCUCACUGCAACCUCUGCCAGCCGGGUUCAAGCAAUUCUCGUUCUUCAGCUCCUGAGUAGCUAGGAUUACAGGUGCCUGCCACCACGCCCGGCUAAUUUUUGUAUUUUAGUAGAGACAGGGUUUCACCAUGUUGGCUAAGCUGGUCUCAAAAUUUCUGACCUCAGGUGAUCCGCCUGCCUCGGCUUCCCAAAGUGCUGGGAUUACAGGCGUGAGGCACCGCGCCUGGCCUUUAACUAUUAUUGAAAGCUGUGAUUAUUAAGUUUCCCUGAAAAGGUCAGAAUUUCCUAGAAUUUCUCACUUUUCUUGUUAUCCAUGCUUUUCUUUUUUAGGCUGGUAUAACAAUAGCUGUAGCCCCUUGCUGGGUCAGAUUGCUGAUUUGUUGCAUCUUGGAAGAAUAACCCUUGCUUCACUACUGAUAGGUUUGUGUUAUGGAUACUCUGUGUUACUAUUUGUUUUGUUAAUAUCAAACUGUAAUGAUUAGAAUUUUGGAAGACCAUUUCCCUGAGGUCAGGUUCUCUGGAGUAUACCUGGGAAAGUGGAAAGUAUAAACAGAGCAGGGGAGGGUUUCAAAAUUCACUGGACUCGGAUUGUACAACUCUGUCCUAUGAAUGAGCAAGAACUAGGUGGGAUUCUAUAGAAUGGGAUCUAGGUAGCUAGAAAGGGCAAAGGUGAAGCAUUAGAUGUAUUAGCAGUCAGGGAGAAACUACCAAGCAAAUCCAAAAUAUUCUGUUUGUACUGGAAAAGUCUGUUUUGUGAAUCCAGAGUCAUCCCCAGCGGGAAUAAAAUUCUUCCUUUUAUAGCCGUCCAACUCUCUCCCAAAUCCUUUCAUUCCAUCCCCACUCUGCACCAGCAAGGGAUCCCACUCUCCCACCACUAGGAAGUUAUCCCUCAGGUUUAAGAUAUUUAUAGCACCAGACAUUCUCUUUGAAAAAUAUAAGAGAAAUAGUGCCUUAUGGAAAUGAUUUUCUGUUUUUUCUUUUAACAGAAAACUCACUUUUUGUCCCUAAUAAUAAAAACUGCUCUGGCCGAAGCAGGGGCAGGGGCCUGGGCCUUCCCCCUUAGCCUCACCCUUGCUGGCCCUUGAGACACUUGGGUGGAAGCCAGAGGCUCCAGGAAAGCUGUUUCAAAAGCUUUGCUGCAAACCAACCAACCAUACAAACUCAUUAUUGGGACAGCUGGGGAAAUUUGAAUAUUGACUGGGUGUUAGAGGACGUUUAGUAAUUAUUGUUCAUUUUGUCAGAUGUGAUAAUGUUAUAAUGGUUAUGUGAGACAACAUCCUGAUUUUUUAAAGCUUCCUAUUUCAUGAUGCUUGAGAUUUGCAUAAAAAUGAAGUGAAUAUGCGCUGGGCACAGUGGCUCACGCCUGUAAUCCCAACAGUUUUGGAGGCCGAGGCAGGUGGAUCAAUUGAGAUCAGGAGUUUGAGACCAGUCUGGCCAACAUGGUGAAACCCCGUCUCUAGUAAAAAUACAAAAAUUAGCCAGGUGUGGUGGUACACGCUUGUGAUCCCAGCUACUUGGGAGGCUGAGGCAAGAGAAUCGCUUGAACCCGGGAAGCAGAGGUUGCAGUGAACCAAUAUCACAUCACUGCCCUCCAGCCUGGGCGACAGAGCGAGACUUCGUCUCCAAAACAAAUCGAAAGAAAAAAACGAAAAUGAAGUGAAUAUGGCA